UUCCAGGGAGCCGACGUGUCCAGAGUCCAUUUGCCUGGUCAUUAUUUACUUAAUGAAGCUUGCUUCAAAUUUGGCUCACAAUGGCAGAAUUGGGUCUUCUCUGAGUCUGAGGAUUAAUGCCUGAAAAGAAUCUGGCAAGAAACACCCUAACGGGAGAAUUUAGAGAAGUUAAUUUCCGGGCUUGUAGCUCCUUGCAAUACAGAGGCCAGAAGUGUGAAGACGUUGCUGAAUGACUGACUACAAGCCUAAAGGCAGCAGAGAACCCUUGCUUGGCUGUUGAUGGAGUUACAGUUUGGUGACUUAAUCUCAGAAAGCCUCAAAGUUGGGUUAUCCUGCAAGCAUUUGGGUGCUUUCCUUCAACGAUGUCCCUUUGUCACUGUUCUCACAGACAGCUCUGGUGCAGUCAGUUGCAGGGCAAUCUCUCUUGAGUGAAUACAGGGGAACCAUUUAGCAAAGGAUGCCUAGUUUUGACUUUCUGUGUUUUCCUAUGCAGUAUGCGUGUGUGUGUGUGUGUGUGUGUGUGUGUGUGCAUGUGCACUUCUGUUAGCCUUCCAUGGCCAUUAGGAAACCAGCGAUGGUUUCUUACAGCUUCUUGUGUCAUUUUCUUUCUUCUGCCCUUCCUCCCUAGUCCCCUGAACUUCUGAUUUUGUAGUCAGUAAUUUUGGACUGGUAAUUUCCUCUUAUCGGUUUUAAGUUCUCAGGUCUUAGUUUUAAACAGCAGACAGAUAUCACUGCUCUCUCUAUAUAAACCUGAAUGGUGCUCUCUCUCUGUCUCUCUCUCUCUGUCUCUCUCUGUGUGUCUCUCUCUCUGUGUGUCUCUCUCUCUCUGUCUCUGUCUCUCUCUCUCUGUGUGUCUCUCUCUCUGUGUCUGUCUCUGUCUCUCUCUCUCUCUGUGUCUCUCUCUCUGUCUCUGUCUCUGUCUCUGUCUCUCUCUCGCGUGCGCGCGCGCACAGAUUUAGGCUACAUUAGACCAGAUCAAAAGUAGAUAAAGGCAGGUUUAUUUGGAGGCAGCCCCAGGUGGGUGCGAUGAUCUCACAGGAGGAGCUCGGUGGAGCUGCAUAUCUGGGCUAAAGCAAGAUGUUUUAUAGAGCUUAGGUGAGGAGUGAUGGUGUGGCUGCUAGGAGCUGGGAUUAUGUCCAUACGUGGUCAAAACUGAGCCCCUGGGCAGGCAGAGGGGGGGGUGUUUUCUCUGAGGGGCAGAGUUGGGCAGGUGGGGUUCCCACCUUGUACAGGGGGGAACAGAGGUUCCAGCCUCACAAAACCAAGUUCACUUUACACGUGGAGUCAUACCUGAGUUCUCUCCUAACAACAAGAAGGAGGAGACUCUCCUUUUCCAAUGCACAAACACUUUUGCAACUUCGUUAGAAAUACCACAAGGCUCCAGGAUCUGCUUCCUCUGCCCGUAUUUGUUAUCUGGAUUGAAUUCAACCCCAUGCCAGGAGUAGAACAAGGUGAGGAUCUAGAGGUCCACAUACCGUUCAUAUCCAUCAAAGGAUAUGAGCAACUGAGCCUGUGUCCGAAGUUCAUCGAAUGCUCAGAUGCGGUACUGCUAGCCUUCUCCUGGCAUCUGAAGUGUCCAUGAAAGGUUUACAAACAGAGAAAACUAGGGAAAUCCCUUCACUGGGUAGAUGGUCCCCUCCAUCUCGCCAUGACCUAUGGGCAGCAUUCCAGGGAAAUUCAUUUUUUUCUGAGUCAGUGAUGAGGUUCCCAUAUUCUGCAAGUUCCCAUGCAGUUCUCGCUUAGAAUAUGGGCUUUUUUUUUUUAAGAAUUAUUUAUUUUAUUUUAUGUAUACGAGUACACUGUCACUGUCUUCAGACACACCAGAAGAGGCCAUCGGAUCCCAUUACAGAUGGCUGUGAGCCACCAUGUGGUUGCUGGGAAUUGAACUCAGGACCUCUGGAAGAGCAGUCAGCGUUCUUAACUGCUGAGCCAUCUCUCCAGCCCUAAAAUAUCAUUCUUAAUUUUAUAAAAUCUCUGGACCCCAAGGUUGUUUUAGACUUUUUAAACUAAAAUAUGAACCCAAAGACAGCAAGGGAGACUGUUAGUGGUGAGAAGAGGAUCUUUCUCUUUCUCGAACCAUUGCACAUUUCCCAAUAACUUUGCAGAAUCAGAUACACAAAAACACAUGUGGACUUUCAAUAACUGCCAUACUGAGAAAUAUCUUAUAUACAUCUUUGCAGGAAGGUACUCUGAAAGGCCUGCACUUCAAACAGUGAGUAGGCUAACUUCCUACCUGGAAACCAGGGUCAAAUUAAAGGGUGGAUGACACAAACAGUACCCAAAGCAUCAUUUCUGAGGGAUACUAGUGGGACAGCACUCUUGUGAGAAUCAGAAAAAUGUAUUUCCCUUUGACAAGUACAGGCUGGAGAGAAUAAAAAGAUUGUCUUAGUUAGGGUCUUAUUGCUGUGAACAGACAGCAUGACCGAUGCAAGUUUUUAUAAAGGACAACAUUUAAUUGGGGCUGGCUUACAGGUUCAGAGGUUCAGUCCACUAUCAUCAAGGCAGGAGCAUGGCAGCAUCCAGGCAGGCAUGGUGCAGGAGGAGCUGAGUUCUACAUCUUCAUCUGAAGGAAGCCAGGAACAGACUGAGCAUCCUCAGGCAGCCAGGAGGAGGGUCUCCAAGCCCACCCCACAGUGACACACUUCCUCCAACAAGGCCAAGCAUAUGCAAACCAUCACAAAGAUAAUUCCACUUCAGGUGAGCACACAGGGCCUGUUGGAGUGUAGUAAGUGCCCUCCCCACCCUCAGUCCUCUCUCAUGGGGUACAAUGUUUUAAAGUAUGGGCUUUUCUGUGCCCGCCGACCUUGCUUUGAAAGACACAGAGACCUUUAUGCUUAUUAGUAAGCUUCAGACACUGAGCUGGACAGAUUCUGAGCUAUUCUAACCUGACUAAGUCAGGUUACUACUAUGGCCGAUUCCCCAGCCACGUGGCCCAUUUCCUGAUAUCUUGCUUGGCAUCUCCUUCAUUGUCCUGACGGAUGACAUCUUCCUGGGUCCCACCAGAGACCCCUUCCCCCUCUCUGGUUUUGGAAGUCCCACCUUUUACUCUCCUGUUCAGUCCUUUAACCGUUCGGAAGGUGGUGGAGAACAGUAUUUUACAAAACACUGAGUCUGGAGAUGGCUUUGCAACGACGGCCACACUGAAGUCGGGGGCUGCAACCAGAUCUCUGAAUACAGAAAUCUGCAUCUGAAUGCACAAUGCACAAAGACAUCCCUCACCAGUGUGUGGGUGGGAGGAACCCUUUGAUAAGCAACUUGAGAGGGUGCUGAGAGCAGCAAAUCACUAGCCUGCCUCUUAGGGACAAAGUUCAAAGUCACUACGGAAAAAGAUGCUCCUGAAGGCUGUCUUGGAGGUCCUCUCUCCUUGUGUUUACCCAUCCCCUUAGUAACAGAGACACACCGGAGAUAACACCUCCAUUUCUUUUUCUUUCUUUCUUUCUUUUUUUCUUUCUUUUUUUUUUUUUUUUUUGGUUCUUUUUUUCGGAGCUGGGGACCGAACCCAGGGCCUUGCGCUUCCUAGGUAAGCGCUCUACCACUGAGCUAAAUCCCCAGCCCUGAACACCUCCAUUUCUAAAACAGUUCAAAUACUCCGUUGUUAACACUUGAGGUGGAUGUUAGGGUCAACUGAGGAGCGUGAACCUUAGUUCUGUCUUAGUGUUGGGUGACUUAGAAGCUUUAAGGUGGCUGAGAUUUCCUGUAUCUGUUAAAAGGAUGCCGUUACGGGAUUAAAGGGACAACAAAGAUCUAGAACUUGGAAAACAUGAAGGAUAUACCAUCAAGGAGACAGGUUUUCAUCGGUCACGGCCCAAGGAGCUGGACACCCACGCGAUUGACGAAAAGGAAAGAGUGAAGAUAUGUGAGGCUCUGUUCUUCUGUGGGUAUUGUCAAGGUUUAUCAGCUUGACACACCUGGGAAGAAGGAAUAAUGGAAGGGUUGUCUUUAGCAGAUCAGCCUUGGGCAUGUCUGUGGGGGCAUUUUCUUGAUUGCUAUUCGAUGUAGGAAGGCCUAGCCCUCUGUGGAAAGUACCAUCCAUGAGUAAGCAGGCUUGGGCCUCCGUACAACAAAUGACACAGGUUGUAACCUGUAAGCAGAAACAAUCCCUUUCCUCCCGUGUUCCUUUUUGGUCAAAGUGUUCUUAUCACAGGAAUAGGGUCAAUGAUGAUGAUGAUGAUGGUGGUGGUGGUGGUGGUGAUGGUGACAUCUCUAUGUCUUCUGAAGGGAAAGGCAGCGGACAAGUAGAAAUGAAAUGUAAUUCAGCUUCAGAGACUGAUUCCCGACCCUCUUUUAUAGGCCACCCCUACUAUUGGUUCCAUUUCAUCGAAAGUGUAAAGCUGGGACAAUAACAGUUUUCAAAUCAACGUUUAGCGUGGCAUCGACUGUUUUCUGGGGAUUUUUUCCGAGUGUCCUUGGGAUUAUUAUCUCUGAGAUGGCAGGAGCUAGAACGCCUGGAAGCCCCUGGAGUCUGGGUUCAGUAGUGCUAGCCUGCAACAGGAGCCUUGACAGUUAAAACCAACAGUGAGAAUUCUCCCACCACGCUGGCUUUUUCUGAUGGCCUUUCCUUUCCCAUGGUUUGUAGGAAGGUAGGGACGCGCUAUACACACUGAGAACUGGGACCACAAAGCGAGGACUGAACACAAGCCAUCGUUAGCCCAUGGGUAGAGAAGUGUAGUUGGUCAAUCUUCAUGGGUCUGAGAUCAGGCAGGUAUCCUGUCUGUUUCCAACAUAGGAACAGUGUUACCCAAAAUACAAAACCCAAAGCAGAAGGGAGGAGUCAUAGGGUAAGACAAGGACCCUACAUAACCAGCAGUCCUUUCCCCAUCAGUCAGUAAAUCAACAACAAGGGGUCAUCCAUCGUCUUGGCAACACCUCCAAAGAACCUCCACAGCCUGGAGGCCGAGCUCCCCGUGUCCAUCAAGGGUUGGGGUGGAGGGAGGGGAGGGGAGGGAAGGAGGGAGGUGAGCUUCCUUCACGAUCACCGUGAAACAUUUCUUCUUCCACAUCCAGAGUGGCAGGCGAGCAGGCGGGUUGGGGAAAGCUGGCUCCGGCCAGGGAAAAGGCAAAGUUUCUUUUCCCGGGCGCGAAGGGAGGGAAGGCGGGGUAGCGAGGGGUUGAGGGGGGCC